GUCAGCCGGUGGGCGGGUGUCGGGCUAUCUCCGGCGACGAGAUAGCCUGAGGAACUUCCUCCACAAAAUGCGGCCCCACGACUGCCGUGAGGCAGUCCGGCGAGAGCCGGGGCAACGGAACAGAAACGAUACCUCUCCCAGCGGAUGAGAAUGAUACAGCUACAGCUGUUGACAAUGUUGGGAGAAGGGUUGAAACGACCGUCCCGUGGGUUUAGGACCAAAUAGGGAUCGAUGAGGAGCCGCACUGAGAUCCGGGUAGGUCCCUAGGUGAAUCCCGCCUAAAACAGAAGGAGGGGUACAGCCGGCUGAC
rnacentral:RNase_P_RNA from 1 species